UUCAGCAAAUAUUUAUUGACAACCACCCAGCCAGCUCCUGGGUGGAUGCUGCUCAGACGGUCCUUGCCCUCCAGGUUCCCGGAGCCAGGAGGGAGAGUCACAAACCCAAGCAAAGCUAAUAGAAGCCGAGUGUGGAUAAAUGCUGUAAUCAAGGUUCAAACAAUUCAAUGAAACAGGAAGGAAGUAGUUCAUUCUGCCCAGACAGACCAGGAGCGAUCUUUGAGUGGAGGCUGGACGAGAAUCUGGCCUGAAGAAGUGGCGGAAGACUGAGAGGCACAACUGGAGGUGGUGACUCAGGGAUCCAAGCUGUCCCAUCCUGGAUUUGCAUCACUCAAUGUCACUUCAAAAGCGGGCAGGGGAAGAGUCUGGGAGAUUGCACGGGAUGUUUCUAAAGACCACCCCUGAAAGUGCCUUACAUCACUUCACCUACAUUUCUUUGAACACAGUCACAGAGAUAGAAGCUCACUGCCAGGAAUGCUGGGAAAUGUAGGCUUCCACUGUACCUGGGGAAAGUAAAGCCUAUAGCAAACACACAGCAGCUUUGACUCUGCCACAAGAGUUACAUCUGGAUUGGAAUUCUGCCUCUGUCUGCUAGCUUGGAGCUCUUUGGAUCUUUUUCUUCAUUCAAAACUUGGAACUAAUGACACCUACCCACAAGAUGUACAGAAUGUCACAUAUAUAGCUGUCAGAUAUUAAGAAUCAGACUUCUUCCUGAAUAGUGACUUCAAGGAUGGGUACUAUACUGAAAAUGGAAUGUCUCAGAUUGGCUUUCCAGAAAAGUGCCUGAGAUAAAGACAAGAAUAUAUCAAGGUUUCUGGGAAGACAAGUAAUGAAGUACAGGAAGCAGGAGAAGGGAAACAGGAGGAAGACAAACAAGGGGGCAACUUCAGGCAAAGCCUCACCAAACCCUAGAGCUAAGCAAAGCUUCGGAGCUGUCCCAUCCCUAGUGAAGGCUGUUGGACUUUCAUAUUCUCACCCUGAGAGUCGUUGGUCAAGGGCUGCCUGGUGUUGGGCGAGGGCCAAUGUAAACUCCCAGGAAUUGCAACUCUGCACAUAUCAGCAAGUGCUCUGGUAUCCUAAGGGA
rnacentral:lncRNA from 1 species